UUGCCUUUGAAAUUCACUUCUUUCAAACAGGAGUCACUUUUAUCGAUAUCUGUAAAGAAAAUGAAGAUCAUUGCAUUAUUUUGACAGACAAGUAAACAUUGAAAAGGAAAGUGCCUUUAGACGUUAAUAUAUUGUUUGUUAGAUUUGUGAAUCUAUGCAAACGUUUGAGAUGUUUUAUUUUUAUUUUUACUAAAUGAGCAGCCCUGCUUUGAAAUCCCAUGUCCAAUAAAUUGUUUCAGAUUUCUGAAAACAAAGUCUCCCCUCAUGAGUGAGUCCAGCUGUUGGUAUGGCAACCAGGGAAAUUAUUGGAUGGCAGAAGAGGUCUAGAUGUGCUCUUUUGACAAUUCAGUUCUCUCUGAGUGAAGUGUGACUACCUGGAGUAUAUGGGAAUGAAAUGCUCGUCCUUGACUCUUGGUUUUAACUUCUCUUUUCCCUGCUGUCAGACUCAUCUGGACCAGGUCAAGACUGAUGUAUCGGAUUGCAUCCCUCCCCUGAACACAGUAUGUGUUAAACUCAGUGGGUUGUCCUGUUGUGCUGAUUCAGAACUGGCUUUCCUCAGUGCAUGGCUCACUUUGACUCAUCUGAGAUUUGCAUGAACAGACUCCUGCAGCGCACGAGUAGUUGAAGGCAGUGGAUGAGGACUUGAGCGCCGGGCCAGAUUUGACAAAGCAAUGGGUCAUCAUCCGCAAACAAUCCCAGCACGGGUCGCCAUCUGUUUAUGGGAGAGGACGAACACGGAUUCCUACAGUGUUAUAGUCUAUGGCCCAUACUUGAGUGCUACUCAGUGUGUACUACAGAUUAGAGGUUGUUCAUUGAUAUUACAUUUUCAGCACGACUUAAUUGGGAAUAAAUAGUGUAAGGACUCUAUUUAUGGUGAAUAA
ensembl:lncRNA